CUUCAACGACCCCAACCACAGCGGAUGCUCGGCAUCCCGGCCCUGCCCGUACGUGGCCAGCAGGGCCUGGGCCUC
rnacentral:antisense_RNA from 1 species